UGUAUACUUUAGGUUAUUUGAUUCUGGAUCUCUCAGACCCAAUGGCAUUCACUAUUUGCUCAAAAUAAUUUCACAAAUGCAUCACCAUGCAAAUGAUCAAAAAUUAAAUCCAACUGAUAGUCAUCGAGAUUAGGUCCCCAUGGCCUCAGUGCAACUUUUGCACCAUUGCUGACUCAAAAGAAUUACUUCACCUUCCCUCAGUCUUCUUCCUUCCUUAGACCUUAUAUUAAAGUGCGUAAUAUGCACUAAAGUCUAAUGAAAAAAAAAAUCGUAAGAUCAAUUUUGAGCAAUUCGACAUACCUUCCAAAGGCGUGUCAUUGUUUCUUUAGGUUCUCCAGGUAUGUACCUUAAAAUUUUUCAAGAUCCCUUAGUUACCAAUAUAUCGACCAAUUUAGUUAAGAUGCUCUAACAUUUAUUCAUAUAAUAGUUUCAUAAACUAUUCAUAUAAAUUAAAAAUUAUAGGAUCAAAUCCAUUAGCAAUUUCUUAUGCAUGAUCAUGUCGAGCUUUUCAAGCUCUUCAAUGUCCUUGAUCAUUGAUCAUAGAUCAACUGUCCAUCAUGCAUCUCAUGCAUUAUGCAACUUUGAUCAUCUCACAACUAUUGCAGAUGAAUCAGCAUGUCAUUGACAAUCUACAUGUCCUUAUGCAUACAUUAGAUUUCAUCAACUAUGAAGUCCAAUUUAUAGUACCUAACCUAAUUGUCAAUAUCUAACCAUUUAUCAAGUAUAGCUCAUUGACUAUGG
rnacentral:lncRNA from 1 species